UUUAAGACCAAUGACUAGUCCAAAAUAAUUUAUUGAAUUAUGAGAUUAAAUCAAUAAAUAAUCAUUAAAGUCAAUUAAAAUAGACUCAAUUUAAAUCUGAUUUAAAUCAUGAUUUAAAUUGAAACAACCCUUUAUAUAUUCCAUCUUUCUGAGGUAGAGGGACAUUAUUCUUGGUUUUAUAAUUUUUAAUUUAAUAUCUCUGGAUAUUUUUCAUAAUUAGUUUGCGUAAUGCAGUUAACAACUUUAAGCUUAUACAUUAACUUUCGUUAUAACUUAGUUAUUAAUAAUUUGAUUUAUAGAUUUUUAUAACAAUACAAGAUUGAAUUUAGCAGAAGGCUAAACUUCUGCUCUGGAGACAAAAAAGGAAGAUAGCGAAAAUAACCAGCCAAAAUAAAGAUUAAAGAGACAAAAAAUUGUGUAUAUCUUGGUGUAGAUGAUUUAUCCUCAAUUUCUUAUAAUAAAACUAAAAAUAUUAUUAACCUUUAGGAUUUACCUGUAACUACAAACUUUUUACAGAAGUUCAAUGUUUGCUCUGAGAAGUUAAAUGAACAAAAUUUAUUAAAUGAUAAAGUUGUAUCCUUGAAAGAUAUGCUGGUAUUAUUGGCACAAUGGGCAAGCAUUGAAGUGCAACUUGGUGAACUACUAAAUACAUCAAAUUCAGUUAUAAAAAUUUGAGUAUCAAAGGUAUGCUAAUUAUUGUCAUUGCUAUUAAAAGCAGUGAAGAAUUCAAGUACUUUGAAAGAAAAGAAAAUACGUAAGUAAAUGGUAAAUAUUUUUGUAUGAUUUUUUUAUGCAUUUUGUAUGAUAUCUUAGUACAAUUUAUAUACUUUAAAUAAAAUACUUUUUGAAGAUUUUUUGUAAAUGACAUUUUAUAUUAAUUUAAGUCUAAACUAAAGUUACUUUAAUUACUGCCAGGCUGUGUAUUUUUGCGAGUUAAUUAUUUGGCACAAAUUGGAGUUAAAGGCGAAGGAGAUUGUAUGUGUUAUUUACUAGGAAUAGUUUAUUAAAAUGGCCUAGUUGUAAAAUUAAAUUAUGCAGGGAGAGGAUAAAAAAUUGGAAUAGGAAAAAUGUUGAUUGCAUAUGCUGCUUUUGAAACUUUGAAGUCAAUUAAGCAUGGUUUAUGCAGACAUGUGAUAGAGAUAGCGGAAGAAAAAUAAUAAUCGUGGGCACCAAUUAUCAUAAGCUAAACACGAUUCAAUAACAAGUAGCUCAGUCAAUAUCGAAACUACUCUAUAAAUUUUAUAGUGAAUUUUUUUAUUUAAAACUCAAUGU